UGGUACUUUGUGGCUGCUGGUGGAGCUGUCAUCAUUUUGCUGCUCAUCACUGGUGCCUGCUGUGUGUGGUAUAAAUGUGUUAAGGCACCACAGUCAAGCUCUGGAAACCCUGCUUCUGAUACCAGGUCGAAUAGUUCUGUCUAUGCCAACACAAGCUACCAGCGAGAUCGACCCCCAAGGGAGACUGCAUGUAACCAGUGGAGUAAGAGUGACAAUUAUAAAGAGCAAGAGAAAGGACAAGGAUAUAACACCACUGGCAGGUCAAUUUAUGGCAACGAUUAUGAAAACCCAUGCCCUGUCUAUGCCAACUAUGGGGAACGUCAGUUCUGAGGGAAAAACGUCUGGGG